rnacentral:rRNA from 1 species
CGCGUAGGCGGACUCUUAAGUCGGGGGUGAAAGCCCAGGGCUCAACCCUGGAAUUGCCUUCGAUACUGAGAGUCUUGAGUUCGGAAGAGGUUGGUGGAAUUGCGAGUGUAGAGGUGAAAUUCGUAGAUAUUCGCAAGAACACCAGUGGCGAAGGCGGCCAACUGGUCCGAUACUGACGCUGAGGCGCGAAAGCGUGGGGAGCAAACA